rnacentral:lncRNA from 1 species
AGAAAACUCUGACGUAUUCACAUCUCCGAAGCCCAAUUUGUUCAAGUACAGAUUGUGGCGAUAUUUUGUUACUGGUACAUGAACCGGUGGCAUACACAUUUAUAUUUCAGCAUACGAUUGUCAUAUUGACAAUCACCAGAACCAAGUGAAUCUACAUCAACAGAUUAAUUUGAUUUGUUCAUUGGUUCAUUGGUGUUCAUUGUUUAAUGUUUAAUUAGUCAACAAAAAUUAUUCAUUUAAAGGAAAGGCAAUGAAAAUAAACCCAACAAUGUAAAAAACUUUAAUCUUUUGCUUUUCCUAGAUGCCAUCAACUUGACCGAUGGAACUGGGUAAAGACCAACUCCGAAAAGCCUUGCAGCAAAAGAAGCACCGCUUUAAAAACUCCAGCUCUCCGUACGUGUCACAACUUUUAUACACGGCACUCAGUUCUAAAUCUGCACCUUAGCGGUGUUUUGUCAAAUUUUACAUUUUUUCUUCAUCUGUCAUCUACAUCUACAACACUUCUCACACCAACACUCUCCUUUGGCUCUCCCCCCUUCCCGAGGCCCAAACACUGCAGACUCGCGGCAGAGGCAGAGGCCGCUGACUACACGAAUCUGAGUGUAAAUAAGAGAAUGUGAAAAAAAACAACAAAAGCUGCAGGACAGGGUGGGCUUAAAUUGUAAAUUGAUUUAUUCAUUAUGUCUAUAAUAAUGAUAUGGUCAAUGGUGGUUUUUGUUUUCGUUUAUCUUCAAAAUUUUAGGUUUGGGAGGUUUUCUACACUUGUAACAGUGUGAGCAUACAGAAGUCUGGAUAAAAAAUUUGGUGGCUCUAGCUCUUAUAGGACGGACAGACGGACGGACAGACAGACAUGGCUCAAUCGAAUAUAUAUACUUUAUGGGGUCGGAAACGUUUCCUUCAGUGCGUUACAUACUUUGUGCACAAAUACAAUAUCCCCUAUUUACUCUUCGAGUACCGGGUAUAAAAAUAACAAAUAAUAAACUUCAAAUAAGGUGAAAAUUCGUUUAUGCUGGGUAAUUAUAUCAACAUGGGUAAAAAAGAUAGGGAUCAAUAACACUUACCAACGCUCAGCUGCAGAAGACGAUAUGUUUGACGAACUUGUUAAGUUCUCAAAAGCACAAGCGUUUUUUUAGCGGACAUCAAAGUUUUCUGGCUACUUCUAGCUAUUUUCAAAGGCUAGUUUACCUAUGAUAGGAAUACCGGAAUGUAUGACAGCGCUGGAGUUUUAAAUUUCACCUUAUUCCCAGUAUGUAUUACGAUUAAAUUUUGGUUUUACAUUAGUUCAAAUUAUUUAGAGCUUAUUUUGAUACUUUUGUUUUACAUUUGCCUUCUAUUAAAAUUGACUGUAAAAUACCUAAAACUGAUAUAAAACGCCAAGAAAUGUACUAAAUAUACCAUAUAUCCCUUACACCAAUUAAAUUUUUUUUGUUUCAACAAUUCUUAUCAAGCCUACUGAUUAACAUCAUGCCAAUUUUAAAGAUAUAUCAUGAAAAGCAAACAAAGCAAUUGUGUGCCCUCCACGCUCUCAACAAUAUAUUCCAAGGUAAGUUACAUUUCACUGAAAUGCUUUUGAAUACCAUUCUGAUAAACUGACAUGAAUAUAUGCAUGUUAAUAUACAUAUGUAUGUAUGUAUAAAAUAACUGUAUUGCCAGAACAUAUUUACAGAAAGGAAGAGCUGGACAAUAUAUGCAUUAACUUAAGUCCCAACGUAUGGAUAAAUCCUCAUCGAUCCCUUCUUGGACUCGGAAAUUAUGAUAUUAAUGUUAUUAUGACCGCCUUAGAGCUAAGAAAUUGUGAGGCCUUUUGGUUUGAUAAACGAAAAGACCCGUCUGGCAUUGACUUAGAUUCAAUUGUGGGUUUUAUACUCAACAUUCCAUCAGAUUACAAGAUCGGCACAAUAACAUUGCCAUUACGAAAAAGACACUGGAUAGCAGUGCGUCGUAUAGGGCAGCACUACUAUAAUCUUGAUUCCAAACUUCCACAGCCUGAGUUAUUGGGAACUGAUUCCGAUGUGCUCCAGUUUUUGCGAGAACAGCUUGAGGAAAAGGAACAGCAGCGUGAACUUUUUCUUGUAAGUUAUCGUAACGACUGUACUGGACCAUCACAGCGAUGCAUGGAAGAGUCGCACGACAUAAAUAAAACAACACGUUCAACAUGAUGUUUAACAAAAAUUUCAUAAAAACAUGAAUGAAAUGGAGGUAAAAUGAAUUUGUUUAAGGUAAAAAACAUCUCAGCUAGGGGUUUCUAAGCAGAAAAAGUUAAAGAGCCACAUUAUUCUUUAUAUGGGUUAACGAUCUGUUAUACAUUAUGAAAACAGGUAAUAAACUAUCUCAAACCACGUUUGAAACGUUUUUUUAAAUUUAUUUCGAGUUUUCUUAAAAUAGUGGUAGUACAAUUUGAAAUAAUAUGCAUUAAUGGACGGAUAUGUUUCAAUUAACAGUGAUUACACUUGGAUACACUCUAAUUGAAGGAAUGAAUCGUGAUAAAAUUAUUAAUCGAGACGUUACUAAAAUAUGUAUGUAGAUAUGUUUAGAUUGGGUGACUUCAACAGUUAUAUAUCUGUUUGAAUUCCUCCAUGUGGCGGAAUGUUAGGCUUACGUCCUGACUGAGGACGACGCGGACGGCUUGGUUCUGGUACAAAGUAAGAUUGGGACGGUGAUGGAGCAGUCGGGGUAGUUUCGACAUUUGCCUGGUGCUGAUAGCAGUCGUCUCCGUAUUCGCUAACUUCCCGAUUACUUAUUUCGUUGAGGCGCUUGUAGCGUUCGCGACGGGCUUCAACCAUGUAAAGUAUUCCUCCAGGUAACAACAAUACAGCUCCAACCACGCCCAACGCAAACGACCAGCCCAUGUCAUUAUUCUGCCAUCCAGGCAUCCAGUCCCGAGAGUCUCCCUUGGCACCGAAAAUUACUACUGCAAUAAAUCCAAAAAUCGAGCCCAACACUUGGCAAGUCCCAAUGGUCAGUAGCAGCACAACGUAUCGAUCAUCGUCGCGAGAGGUCAUCAAGAAGGCCAGUGUAAGAGGCAGGCCAAUAAGGCACAUGACGAAGCAAAGCGUUGCAAAUAGCUGCACUGCUACAUAGAACCCCGGUAGUAGAAAAUCGUGUAUGAUGUAGUAUUCCUCUUCAAAGACCCACAUGCAUCCGUUGAAAGGGUUGUCGUAGAAACGGUGAAUGUCCUGAAAAUCAUUGAAGCACACUUCCCAUAAACCCAGAUUGGUAAAGCGUGGCUUUUCUAAACGCCCAUCUGUAACCAACCAAUAGGGUGUUGAAAACGCAAUGAUAAAAAGCAGAAAUGAAAUCCCGGAAACGCAAAGAGCCACUUGCGUACUGCGGUUCGACGCCCCCAUUUUCGAUCGCGGGAUAGUUUCCGUUUGACUAUACAACCGAAAAAAAAACACCCAAGCCUUUGCGUCAUAAACACAACACACGCCCUGUAGUGUAACCGUCUAACAAAAAAAUACCGCUUUUUAAAAUAAAAUACGUAUGAAUUAAA